GAUGAAGAACGUAGCGAAAUGCGAUAAGUAAUGUGAAUUGCAGAAUUCAGUGAAUCAUCAAAUCUUUGAACGCACAUUGCGCCCGCUAGUAUUCUGGCGGGCAUGCCUGUUCGAGCGUCAUUUCAACCAUCAAGCCCUGUUUAGGCUUGUGUUGGGGCCCUGCGGCUGCCGCAGCCCCCUAAAUGCAGUGGCGGGCUCGUUGUCACUCCGAGCGCAGUAGCGUAUCUCGCUCUGGGCGUGGCGGCGGGUGCUAGCCGUGAAACACCCACUAAGGUUGACCUCGGAUCAGGUAGGAAUACCCGCUGAACUUAAGCAUAUCAAUAAGCGGAGGU
rnacentral:misc_RNA from 1 species